UUUUUCUCCUACAACAGAUAGUGAUGUGCGUAUCGAACCUGAAAUAUCGAUAUCUCCGAUACCAGAUCUGUACACUCUAGAAUCAAUUCACAAAUCAAAAUAUCAAUACUUUUGAUAACUUUGGUGAUUUAGAAAGUAAUUA